rnacentral:rRNA from 1 species
GACGAACGCUGGCGGCGUGCCUAAUACAUGCAAGUUGAGCGCUGAAGGUUGGUACUUGUACCAACUGGAUGAGCAGAGAACGGGUGAGUAACGCGUGGGGAAUCUGCCUUUGAGCGGGGGACAACAUUUGGAAACGAAUGCUAAUACCGCAUAAAAACUUUAAACACAAGUUUUAAGUUUGAAAGAUGCAAUUGCAUCACUCAAAGAUGAUCCCGCGUUGUAUUAGCUAGUUGGUGAGGUAAAGGCUCACCAAGGCGAUGAUACAUAGCCGACCUGAGAGGGUGAGCGGCCACAUUGGGACUGAGACACGGCCCAAACUCCUACGGGAGGCAGCAGUAGGGAAUCUUCGGCAAUGGGCGAAAGUCUGACCGAGCAACGCCGCGGGAGUGAAGAAGGUUUUCGGAUCGUAAAACUCUGUUGUUAGAGAAUAACGUUGGUUAGAGUGGAAAGCUCAGCAAGUGACGGUAACUACCCAGAAAGGGACGGCUAACUACGUG